GACGAACGCUGGCGGCGUGCCUAAUACAUGCAAGUAGAACGCUGAAGGAGGAGCUUGCUUCUCCGGAUGAGUUGCGAACGGGUGAGUAACGCGUAGGUAACCUGCCUGGUAGCGGGGGAUAACUAUUGGAAACGAUAGCUAAUACCGCAUAAGAGUAGAUGUCGCAUGACAUUUGCUUAAAAGGUGCAACUGCACCACUACCAGAUGGACCUGCGUUGUAUUAGCUAGUUGGUGAGGUAACGGCUCACCAAGGCAACGAUACAUAGCCGACCUGAGAGGGGGGUCGGCCGCACUGGGAGUGAGACACGGCCCAGAGUCCUACAGGAGGCAGCAGUAGGGAAUCGUCGGCAAUGGGCGGAAGUCUGACCGAGCAACGCCGCGGGAGUGAAGAAGGUCGUCGGAUCGGAAAGCUCUGUUGUCGGGGAAGAACGAGUGUGAGCGUGGAAAGUUGACUCAGUGACGGUAACUGACCAGAAAGCGACGGCUAACUACGUG
rnacentral:rRNA from 1 species